GUGUGCAUGUGUGUAGAGAGUGUUCAGCACCAAGGACAGAUAUGUUUGCCUGUGUGUGGAGGGUGUUAAGCACCAAAGACAGUUAUGUUUGCCU
rnacentral:pre_miRNA from 1 species